rnacentral:lncRNA from 1 species
GGUGCUGAAGUCAAAAACUAAGGAGCUACCCAUCUGACAGCUUGCAUAUUCUCGGAGAGGCCACCUGGGAGGAAAGAGGGGAACAUGCAGGCUGGGGAGGAAGAGAGGAGCCACGUGUCCCAAGCGAAGCACUUGAGUUCCAUCUCACAGGCUGUCUGAGGUCCGAGGUGGCAUUUGGGCAGGGAGGAGAUCAGUUUAUAAAAGGUUCACGUGGGGGACAGAAGGGAAGACAGCGUGGUUAGAGAGAGAGAAGAGUUUCAGGUUAGAGGAGCUAGGAGAGGGGACAGUAGUUAUGAGAGAAGAUGGUGACAAACUAGACAGGGAGAAUGAUUGAUGUGAGGAAAAACUAGACUCGAGAGACAGCUGAGCAGUAGUAUUUUAGGUUUCAGAGUCGGCCCUCCUGUUGUCACCAUGGGUCACUGCUGAUGAGGAGCUGAACUGAAUGGAGCAUUUGGUAUUUUCCCUUGGAAACAAGGCUGCAGUGAUAGUUGGAUUGUGUCAACUUGAGUAAGAAACUGCCAGCUAAACUGGAUCAGUGCAGUUGUGAGUGAGGCUGAGGGCAUUAUGGAGGACAGGAGAGCCACGCUAGGCUGGCUUGUCACCUGAGUGGUACAAAAGCGAAACGAGGGAGGAAGGCUCGCUUCUGUUUCUUUGGAGGAGCUCCAGUCUUUGCCUUCCCCUCGGACGUCAUCUCCUGGCUUCCGGUGCAGACUCUCUGGCCUCCUGAUAGGGACUCGCACGGGACACUGCAGGGAGCUCCAGGCCUUCAGCUGGACCUUUCAGAUCCCCAGUGCACAGACGGACCUUUUGCACUCUUCGACCCCCGACUCUGUGUUCGGCCACUACAAGGUCCUGCUAUGUUUCCAGCUGGCCUCAAACUCCAAGAUGGCCUUGAACUCUGCUCAGUCAUCCCAUCUCAGUUUCCUGAGUGCUGAGAUUACAGGAGGUACUUGUCUUACCUUCAUUUCCCAGACAAGAGCAUGGAGGUCCCCAGACAUGAAGAGACUGCCCCUGAAUCACACAUGGGUGCUAAGCAGCACUGGAAGGAAAGACAACCUUUGUAACAGCAGCACUCCUCACCUGUUAUCCAGCGCUUUCUCCUUCAGGAGGCUUGGGGUAAAGUGGAACAGCAUUGAAGAGAUUGGCCAACCAUGAAAAAAAUGGAUGAAGAAACUGUAUUUUCAAGCAAAUAAUUAUUCUGUUUAGAAGGUCAUGUGGAGAAAGUGGGAGACAGAAAUGAGGACUCACAUUUCCAUCCCCAGGGGCUAUUUGCCUGCGAGUGCCCAGUUGUUCCACACCAUUUGUUGUAAAGAUUAUCCUUUCUCCACUCAGUUGCCUUUGCACCCUUGUCAAAAAUCACUUGACUGUACAUGUGUGAGUUUAUGUUUGGACUCUGUUUCAUUGAUCUGGUUUUCCAUCCUGACACCAAUACUACAGUUUUGAUUAUUGUCACUUUGUAAUAAAUUUUGAAAUAGAAAACUGCAAGUCCUCUGUGUUUUCUUUCAAAGCUGUGUUAUUUGGAGACAGAGUCUCACUAAGUUGCUAAGUUGCACAAGCUGGGUUUGAACUUGUGAUUUCCUCUAUAUUAGACUCCAGGGAUGCUGGGAUUACAGGCUUACACCACCAUGUCUAGCUGGUCCUUUGCAUUUAUGUAUGAAUUUCACAAUCAGAUCAUUGAUGCGUACAGAAAGAGAAACUUGCUGAUAUUUUGAUUACAUUGAAUCUAUAGAUAAAUUGCAAAAG